GAAAUAUGUUAUUCAAAAAAAAGCUUCUAACUUUUAUUUUUAGCAGUGAGAUUCUGUUAAUAUUUCU
rnacentral:tRNA from 1 species